CCCCUGCCCCCACUCGACUAUCCAGGAGAACAGUAAUAGUCUGAAGGCUGGAGGAUCGUCACCUACUCCUGCGAAACUGGUUAUCUGCUGGUCGGAGAAGCGGGAAGGAACUGAGAUGAGACCAGACUCAGCAGCCCUCCAGUGAGCCCAGGAGACCACCGAGGGACACCCACGCACCUCAUGGCUUGGAGGACGCAUGGAGAUGGUGGACUCUUGCAGGGCAGGAGACAGAGACGAGACCACUGAGCUGAGGAGACCAGUCAGGCCUUCAAGAUGCUGCCUAAAUGCUGGGGCAGACCAGAUGAGACGAGUCCUGUUGGGGAGAAGAUGGAGGGAGAUUAAUUGAGCCAAGGAAGGAGAGAGAGAGAGAGAGAGAGAGAGAGAGAGAGAGAGAGAGAGAGAGAGAGAGAGAGAGAGAGAGAGAGAGAGAGAGAGAGAGA